GCCGGGUGUGGUGGCAUGUGCCUGUAGUCCCAGCUACUCAGGAGGCUGAGGCUGGAGGAUUGCUUGAGUUCAGGAGUUCUGGGCUGUAGUGUGCUAUACCAAUCGGGUGUCUGCACUAAGUUUGGCAUCAAUAUGGUGACCUCCUGGGAGCAGGGGACCACCGGGUUGCUGAAGGAGUGGUGUACCGGCCCCGGUUGGAAAUGGAGCAGCUCAAAACUCCCAUGCUGAUCAGUAGUGGAAUUGUACCUGUGAAUAGCCACUGCACUCCAGCCUGGGCAACAUAGCGAGACCCUGCUUCU
rnacentral:SRP_RNA from 1 species